rnacentral:lncRNA from 1 species
GAAACUUGAAUCCCCAGCAGUUUCUGUUUUGCUAAUGAAUGUUAUUUCAGAAUUCUUUUGAGUUUGAAAUAUACAUUGGUGCUUCUUGGUGUGUAUCUUGGCAAACUAAUCCUGACAGGUAGCUCUGGAGCUUGAGGUGUCACAUUCAGGUAAAAAGGGGGAGAUUGAAGACAUAUGGAUGUCGGGCUACAGGAAGAUCAUGUGGAGCACAUGAGAGAGCUGUAUGCGGGAAACUGCGAGACAUUAAAUGAAGAUGACGUGGCGAGCAGUGAUUGGUGAUUGGAAGUUUCCAG